CACAAGUGGGAGAGUGGGUCCCAUCUAAGUUAGGAAGGGAUAACAGUCUCAAAAUUUCGUCGGUGAAGGAAAUAAACCACCAUAUGUAAAAAGGAUUAUGAAGGAUCCUGAGGCUACUCGAUCUCUAAUUUUAUGGCUUUGAUUUCUUACGAUGUUUUCUCCUUUUCUGAAGAUCCCAAACCCGAAAGGCCUCUACCGGAAGCAGGUUAUCGGAGAAGUUUUAAUGUGCACUCAACGACUGUGGAUAUCUCUCUCUAUCUUUCUCUUUCUUCAGAUUUCUUCGAAAAAAUACCAUUUCUUUUUCCCAAGGUGUUUGUUUAAAUUUACUCAAUCAUCAGUAUAUCCCAUUCAAUUUGAUUGUACAAUUUGAUUUUUUUUUAGAUUUAAUUGUAUUACAGCCUUGAAUGGUGGUCAUUCGAGCUGCUUAUACUGCUGUGAGGACUUUUACCAAAUGGAAUGCUUGAGACAUCAAUUUUGUCUGUAUGGAACAAUAAUUGCUGUAGUACUGCUGGUCUUUGGCUCCGAACAUCUUUGUCUUUUUAUGUGGACAAUUUAGAUCAACUUAGUUUUGACUUAUUCUUGGUUGGAAUAUCUAUAGAGUAGUUUAUCCUUUCAUUGCAUAAUCCAGAUUUUGGAGUUCUACACCUUCUUCAUUUAGAGUUUGGUGAGAGCGUGGAGAAACGGAUCUGGAUUGAUUUCACAUUUUCCAUCAUUCUUGAUACUAGUAUAGCAUCUUUGUAGGAUGUUCAAUGUCUUUCAUGUUAGAAAGUUUUCCUAAAAGUUGGAUUACUUUUGGUUGAGUUUGGAAGGGUGCUUGAAAGGUAGCAUAAUAAAUUAUUGCAAAAAUCCUUCAUCCAUCAAUUUGUAUGAUAGCUUUUGGGAAACUAUCUCUGGUGGCCAGUCGAAGGAGAUAUGAGGCUUUUUUCAUCAUCUCGAUUUCAGUUUGUAAUUGAUAUUGUGCUGGGUUUGAAUAUUUCGAAACAAUCUUGUUUAGUGUUUCAGGAAUCUCUAAGGUUUCUAUUGUUGAGUUUAACAUAUGGCCAGAAAGGACUUUUUUCAUUUUUCAAAAUUGAUAGGGUUGAAAAAAUCUUUCUCGUUAGUAAAAACCAAGAAGACUGGUAAUGGUGAAAUGUAUAUAAAAGAAAUAAUGGCUAUUGUUUACAGCUUUAUGAAAAUGCUGUUUUAUAAAAGUUAAGAAAUCUUUAAUCAAAUCAAAAGAUAAGUUUUGCACAAGGAUUUGACCAACUAUUCCAAGGUCGAUGUUGAUUACAUCAAAAGGUUCAUGAUUUAAACGAAAUUUAAUUUUUGGAAUAUGAUCCCUAGUGGUAGUAAUAUGAACAUAUAAAGAAUAAUAAUGUUCAAAAAAUUUUCAAUCAAUAGUUUUUCUGUUGUCUAAGUUAUUGAAAGAUUUAUUUGUUGAAACAGUUCAUUGGUUAGGAAGACUGUAAUUUUUUCAAACAAAAGAAUUUUCUUAAGCUUGUUUAGCUUAGGAGAAUUAUAAUUUUUAAAAUAUUCAUAUAAAUUAAAGAAAUUGUUUAUUUCUUGAACACUGUACUAAUUUUUUUUCAAAGCAAAGAAAUCAAUAUCUUGCUAUUUUAGCAGAUUAAUGGAAAAAAGGCUUUGAAAAGCUAUUUUUUUUAACUUGUAAAUUUCAUCAGCCUGUUUUACUCAAAAUUCAGUUAAUUUGGUCAUCCCUUUUCUAAAGCUAGAUUUGUUUUCUGAUAUAUGGGAUUUCUAAACAUUGUUUAGUAAAUUAUAGACUCGUGGUUCAAGUCUACGGUUAUAAAAAUUUUUAAUCUCUAGAUUAGAGAGUUUUGUUUUCUCUAGCAGUUGUUCUGCUGAAAAAACUAUUUGAGAAUAACUCAUAGGAGUGCAUUCAUUUAGAUCUUGAGCAAACUAAGAGAAUUCUGGUUGAAUCCUCAAAGGAAAUGACAUAAAUAGUAGUCUAAAGUUUUGUGGUUGAUAAAAAAAUAAUCCUUGGUUAGGAUCAUUUUAAAAACCAAAUUCUAGGUUAGGAUUUGGAAGAAAAACAAGAGAUCUGGGAGAAGAAAAAGUAUAAGAAGAAGAUUUUUUACCUAUUUUCUUUUUUAUGGUUCUCCAUUCUUUUGGGUUAUGGAUAGGUUGUUUUCCUCGAUCCAUAUGGUAUGCUUAGAUAAUCUGCAAUGAGGUUUUUGUCUCCAUUGAUAAAUUCUACCUGAAAAUUAUAUUGACAAAAAAAAUUAUACCACCUAAUUCGCCUGAGAUUUUCAGAGAGUUUUCUAUUUUUGAGGAAGUCUCGUACUGUUUAGUUAUUUGUUCUAAUAACAAAUAUCUCAGGGGCUAAAUAGAUGUGAAAUCGCUGUACACCAUUUUUUAUAGCUAGCAAUUCUUUUUCAUAAAUAAUGUAAUUUAUUUUGUUUCAUUUAAAUUUAUCAAAAUUCUAUCCACAUAUCAAUUCAUCCUUUUGAUGAAGAUUUUUUGCUUUAAGGGCAUAUCCCCAAUGUUCUUCACUGGCAUAUGUUUCUAAUAUCAUUAAAUCUUCCUAUUUAGGUAGAUAAACUUUAAGAAUAUAUGUUAGCUCUGAUUUGAUUUGUUUAAUAAUAUCAGAGUCUGUUGUUGUCCAGACAAAAUCAUUAUCUUUGCGUAAUUUACGCAAAACAAGACUUUUCUUUUUUAGAAAGAUUUUUGAAAAAUUAUCUGCCAUAAUUUAAUAUACCUAGAAAUUAUUGCAGUUGUUUAAUAUUAUCCAGUUCUUCUGGAAACUCUUUGAUCUUUGAGAUGAUAUGAUCCUAUAAUGUUAAUCCAUUAGCAGUUAGAUUGAGACCAAUAAAUUUAAUUUUUGUUUUUUGAAGUUCAACCUUUUUGAGAAUUAAAAUAAUACCAUGUAAAAUAAAUUCUUAAGCGAUAAUAUUCAGGUGUUUCCUAUGCUCAUCUAAUGUAGAGGAGAAAUUAAGGAUAUCAUCAAUAUAUACAUAACAAAAUUGUUUAUGUUUGUUGAAAAUAGUGUCCAUCCAACAUUGAAAAAUGUGUGGUGCAUUGCAUAGACCAAAAGGCAUAACAGUCCAUUAGUAAUGGCCUAUUGGUGCACUAAAAGCAGUUAAAAGUUUAGAUUCGGGUUUAAGCAUGAGUUGCCAAAAACCAGAUUUAUAGUCAAAUUUAGAAAAAUAUUUAGCAUUUUUUGCUAAAUUUAUCAAGACAUCUUGACGAGGAAUAAAAUAGCCAUCAAAGACAACAUUUUGAUUUAAUCUCUUAUAAUUGAUAAUCUUGCGGGGUUUACCUCGUUUUAUCUCUGAAUGGUUUCUUACCAUUAAUGCUGGGCUUGAAUGUGGAUUGGUAGUUGGUUCUAUCUGACCUUUGUCUAAUAAUUUUGAGAUUUGGAUCUCGAAUUCAUUUAUAUCCUGCUUGGUAUAGAUCAUGGGUUUACUCUUAUUAUUUCUUUUGGAUUGUGAAAAGUGAGUUAACAAUAUCGUGGACUUCUUUGCCAUAACUUCAAUGGUUAUUCACUGAAGUUUUCCUGCAAAAUCUUAUAAAGUCAAUGUUUUUCAUUGAUUGUAUUUAUAGCAUUUGUUAAUCUUUUUGGUUGAAAGUUUUUAUCAUAAAUAUGCUUAUGCUCUUAUAAUAAAGGAAUUUUAACUGAUGUUUUAUCAAUUGUAAGAGUGACAUGAGUAUUAGAAAUAGAAAAUGGAACAUAAGUAUAUAAAAAAUUAUUUCCUAAUAGUAUAUUUCCAUGCAUGUUAGGAAAACAUAAUAUUUUUGGUAUUAUGAAUCUAACAUUAUUGAGAUAAAUAAGAAUAUUUUUUGCUUUAUAACCAACAAUAGUUUCCUUACCAUCAAUACCUACUAUGAUGAUAGGAUGCUUCAUUGGUUGCCAUUUGUUUAUGGGUAAAGCAUUGUUACGACAGCUUGAUAUUGUUGCUCUAAUGUCAAGCAAUAUAUGUAGACUAUACGGUUUAUAGUCCUAAAAUCGAAAGUCACCUUUCACAAAUGUGUAAUAUCUAUAUUUCUUAGAGAAUAAAAUUAUGUCAAGUGCAGAUAAUCUAAAAUUAUUUAUAAAAUGUAAAAUUUUAAUUUCUUAUUGUCUAUGUGUUCUAGAGGAAGAAGUAUGUGAGUUUAAAAUAGAAUUAACAGAAUAAUAAUAGGAUUGAUUAUCACUUGUAUUUUGCUAGGAUGGAUUAUCAUCUGUAAAAAUAAGAAUUUGAUUAUUACCUGUAUGGCUUAUAUUGUUUGCUCUUUGAAGAUUUUCUACAUUGUUUACACUAUAAAUCCUAAAAAAAAACUUCAGUGAGGAGUAUAAAAAGAUUGAUUGCUAGUUAUACUCUCAAUAUCAUUAUCUUUUUUAUGUUCAAAAAUAUUUGUUGGGGUAAAACUAGAUUUGGAUUAAAAUUGGU